rnacentral:rRNA from 1 species
GAGGAGGUGCGAUGGCCGUCGUCAGUUCGUACUGUGAAGCAUCCUGUUAAGUCAGGCAACGAGCGAGACCCACGCCAACAGUUGCCAGCAUGUCCUCCGGGAUGAUGGGGACACUGUUGGGACCGCCUCUGCUAAAGAGGAGGAAGGAAUGGGCAACGGUAGGUCAGCAUGCCCCGAAUUAUCCGGGCUACACGCGGGCUACAAUGGUCAGGACAAUGGGUAUCGACACCGAGAGGUGGAGGCAAUCUCCUAAACCUGUCCUUAGUUCGGAUUGUGGGCUGCAACUCGCCCACAUGAAGCUGGAAUCCGUAGUAAUCGCGUUUCAAAAUAGCGCGGUGAAUAUGUCCCUGCUCCUU